rnacentral:lncRNA from 1 species
AAAUAACAUACAACAGCUGUCUACACCUGAGGGUAUGACGGCAAGAAUACGAAUAAAUAUCCUAUCUGUGAUGGAACCAUGCAGAGGCUGCUAAAAACUAAUGAUGAAAUAUAAAUAUAGAGAAAAACUCUCAACAUCUCAGGCCCCAUGUCAAGUGCAAGUUAGCAGCAGUCCACCACUAAAGGAAUUUGAAGCUCACGGUCUACUGAAGUGGAAAAGAGAGAAAG